AGCCGCCGGGCUCCGCCGCUGCUGGGAGGACCGCCUGAGAUGUGGCGUGCAUCCUGGAGCUUCCUCUCCACCCAUGGGCUGGGUCAAGGAAGAUCAAGGUCGUGGUGACUUCAAGGGGCCCACCUGCGGGCCUGAGUUAGAAAUAAAUACAAACCAGGAGCGCCAGCUCUGGCUGGUGCUCGAGUGAGCUCCGGAAGAGGGUCUGUCGAAUCUACGUAAGACGAUGGGGCAGGAACGGUGGCUGUGCAUUUUAGAGGCGAGAAAACUGGUCCCUUGAGAUUACAGGACUCAAGUUUCUUUGGCUCCAAAGUUUGGCAACAUUGAAAACCAAGAGACUUCAUCUAAAAAGACAGACUUCCACUUCUAUGGAAUAAACCAGAAGAUAUGGCAAUGUUCUGCUUUCAACCCUGCAUGGCCAGGAUCUGCUGGAACUGAGUAGAAGUUAUCGUUUGAUUUAAGGACUACGUGCUCUAUUUCUCUCCACUCCUCAUCACUCCCUUGGUCUCUUCCCAACACAGAGGCCAAGUAUUAAUUACUACUUAUCAUAGUCCCUGAACUGUUUUUGUUUAUAAUCGAGAAAUAUUUCUCUGUGCAAUACUCUUCUCAAAAAUGGGAAAAGGAACUCAGAGCUACCGACUCAGGGAAGCCUCUGAUGGACUCUGACAUGACAAAGACAGUGUAUGAAAUAUGGAAGGGGGCCCACGGGGCCAUUGUGCACCCCUGUGCAAUUCCCCUCAUCACUUCUGUGAGUGGCGCCCCCUAGGGUUGUGCAGCGAACAAUCUUCACAGCUGUCCAGUGCAUCCUGGAGGCACAAGAAAGAUACAGAUGUGGCAGAGACCCACGAGAGCAGGGCGGGCAGGCUACAGCCCCAAGUGGGGAUGGGGAGUGCACUAAGGCUGACAGAAGGAGCCCUUCAGCUUUGCUAGAAGAAAGAAGAGAAGCAAGGAAGGUUCAGGAUUGAUCAUGACAGCAGACCACAGAAGACAGUGAACGCGUUUAACUCCUUUCUGCUUUCAUCUUUGCCAAAGCACAUGAUCCUCAAGGGGGAGAGGGCAGAGCAAACACCAGGAGGCCUCUGAAGUCCAAGGUUAGCAAUUUGCGUGUUGUCCAUGUUGGCUGGUCGCUGGGGCUUGCAGAGGACUCUGGACUCAGGAGCAAACGAGGCAUAACUGGCCUCUCUGGGUGAGACAUCACUGUGACGCUUUCUAUAGCAGUAAAAAGGAAGUUUCUGGACACCAAGAGACCAGACAAAAUGGUGUGCGUUCCCUUUAUUUCCUUACCACUGGCCCUGCCUUGGGCACAGGCUGAAACUUCAUGGGGCCUGGGGCCUAAGGGGCUGCCAGAGAGUAGCUUCAAGCCCCUUUUUUCUUCCCCUAGAGCAGAAAGGGGGCUCCCCCAAAGACAUGCUACCAUCAUUCUCUGACUGCAUUUGUAAUGGGGGCAAGUGUUUUGUUUUUUAAUUGUCAAGUUGAAACGUUGAAAAGCAAACAUACUUUGUAGACCCAGAGGGGCUGCUGCAAGACAUUCUGCAAGCAGGAGUCUCUCUAUUCUUCUGCUUGGCAUAUUUUCUGGGAGAGGGGAAUACAAACCUUGGUGAGGGGUCUCAAGACUAGACAGCAGUCACAGCUUUGUUCCACCUGCUCCUCAGAGAAUAAUGAAUUUAUGGUACAGUUAGUGCCAGGCCUCUUGGGGCCCACUGGGGGCCCUCUUGGGGGACUGGCUGAGAGGCUCCCUCCACAGGUGCACGGACUAAAUGAGCAGGAGGGGCUGAGGAGGCAAGGACUGAGAUGAGAGGCCCACGUGCAGGGCCAGAGACGGUCCUGAGAAGGGACAGAGAUGAGCAGGGUACCAUCCUUCCCUCCCAGGCCUUCCCAGGGCACUUUUGCCCAAGUAACCACAGGCCUGGGGUCAGGUGACCACGGGGAACCAAGAACCAUGAGAAGAACAAGAAGAACGAGUCCUGCAGCCUCAGGAGAGUGAGCGCGCCCUUCCCACCACAGGGAUCAAUACAGGCUUCAGCGAAGAGAUGCAUUUAUUCUUAGCCUGGAGCUCCGAGGUGGAAAUGGAGAGAGAAGAGAGCAUCUGAAGCAGAGGGCACCGCAAAAACAAAUUUCAAAGGCGUGGCUGUGGAAGAGCGUAUGUGAAAGCUCUUCAGAACUGAAGGCCCACGGGAGUCUGUUAUUACCAUCUCCUACCCUGGUUAACGCCGCCCCCAGGUCCCACAUUCCAGCCACACCCAGCCCUCUGCAGGGAUGUGCCAGACCUCGUCCCUGCCAAAACUUUGUUCUGCUGUUCCCUUGCCUGGAAAGAUCUGUGACAUUGCUCCCCACGUCCCCUCCUGCUGUCGAAAUUCUGUCUUUCAGAGUCUAACUCAGAGGUCUCUUUGGGAAAGCCUUCCCUGAUUCUCCCAGUCAGAAUUCCAACCAUGCUCCCUCUUUCUUCCCCUCCUCUCCUGACACAGUGUGUGUGUGUGUGUGUGUGUGUUGUGUGUGUGUGCGCGCGCGUGUUCAGGUGCAAGUCAUCCAUUCCCCACUUAGAAUGCCACCAGCUCCUCGAGAUGGGCCCUGGGGCUCCCUCUGCUUUCUGCCCUGCCCCUGUUUUCCCUGAAACCUAGCUCAAGGAGGGCCUUGGUUGGUCUUGGUUUCUGCCCCUGCCUGAAUUGCUGAAUCCCAGCCAAAUAAACUGGGUUUGUGUCCUGGCUUUACCGCUGACCAACCGACUAUGGAUCCUUAGACAGAUUACCUCCCUCCCUGUGCCUCAGUUUCCUCAUCUGUUAAAAGGUCUUAUAGUGUUGAUCUAAAGCCUGAAUGACAGUGUGCACUGCAAGUGCGUGUUGACUAUUAUUAUCAUUUAUAUUGAUUUGUUAUGUUUGUAUAACAUAUAUUUUAAGAUCUGUCUUUGAGAAUUCCAAAGUCCUUUUCACCUUGAACCCAGAGAUAAGAAUUUGCUGCAAUGACUGCAAUUGUGCAAAAGACAUGACCCGUCCUUGGGCUCCCAGCUACUCGGGCUAUUCUGGAAAGACAGAGGAAUUCCUGUCAUCCUCUUUGCAGCUCAAACCACAGGUCAGGCUUUUAGAAAUCCAUAAAAUAUUUAGGGCUGGGCUUUUGCUACACCAGACUUCUUCAUAGCUAGUCAACAUUUUUACAAAUAAAACAACAUUAUUACUCAUCAUAAGAAAGGAGAUGAGAGACAUGUGGUUUCAUUAUGUCACCCUAAUGUGGAGAAAGGGGAAGUCAGGUGACUUAACGAAGAAUCUGAACAUCAAAAAUUAGAGAAAAAGUCUCUUGCCUUUAGAAAAACCAUCUGUGACCCCACUGCAUCCGGAGGAAAUGGUACUUAGGUCUCAGUGGGGAAUGCUGCCCCCCACCUCCACCCUGAAGCUGGACUGCUCCAGAAUUGGGUCCAUUUUGGAGGCCACACUUUUAGGAAGAUUGUGGCAAAUGGUAAGAAGCCCAAUCAGGAUGAUGUCAGCUCUGGGAACCAUAUCCCAAGAGCAUAAACUGAUGGUACAGAGCCUAUUUGGCCCUACCCCAAAGGCUAUGGUAGCCUCGCCUGGGCAGAAAGGGAUACUUGAACCUGGAGAGUGAGGCAGGUGGGGCAGAGAUCCAACUCUGUAUCCGGAAAUUCAGAAAUCAGAGAGGUCUUGUGAGGUAGCAAGCAUCCCAGCAUCUCAAUUGUUCAAGCACAGGGCUGGUGACCACUAGCCAGCCAUUACAUAUAGAAAGUACUACUGCCUUGCAUGGGAGGUACAACAGAUGUACAGAAUGUUGUAGAAGGUUGACCUCCCUGAAAGCAGAGAGGCUGUCAAGACUCUCUCUGUAUCCUGUGGGGGAUCGGAAUUGGCCACCCCAAGAUAUGUCUCUUUGGCAUGUGGAUUAUUUUGGGCUAGUUACUGCAGACAUGAGGGAAACUCUGAAAAGUAGAAGUUACCCUUUGUAAGAGACAUUUCCAUUUGUACAGGAAAUCUCUGUCUGUAAAGAUGUCUCCCUCUCUGUACCAGGAAGAAGUGAAGAUGACCUUAUCUCUAAAAACUCAUCAAUGCAGACUUAAAUCUGCAUGAUAAUCUUACUCUUGUUUGCUGUGCUUUUCUGGUAAUCUCCCAUAACUGACUCCCCCUACCCACAACAUCCUCCUUGGUAACUGAAGAUGGUAUUUAAGAUGAGAACCUCCACCAUUUUGGCAAGUUGCUCAGUUUUCCUGAGUCUCUCACUUGUAUACAUGUUAUAAAGCUUUGUUUGAUUUUCUCCUGUUAUUCGUAGCCCAGCCAGAAGGACCUAGAGUGGGUAGAGGAAAGCUCUUCCUCCCCUACAGUCCCCAAAAUCCAGUAUAGUACCUGCCACUUAUAAGGCCCUCCAUGGUGUUUAAGUACACUUCAAUUUUAAGAUUACUUAGACUCUUUCAAGGACUGUAACAUAAAUAAAAAUGCUGCUGAACAAGACCUUCUGACCAAAGAGGUUCUGCUUAUGUGGAUAUAUAAAUAUCCCCUAAACGCCCUUUCUUCACUUAUGCAGCAAACAGCCCAUCACAAAAGGCACAAGAGGUGAGUUUUGUAAUGCACAUGUUUUUGACCUGGUGGCAACACAUUGUCUGCAUAUUCCAGAAGCAGCAAACAAUUCUCAGUAAUACUAGGCCCAGAAAAGUACCUGAGGAUAGACUCCUUGUUUAUAGAGCAAUGCUGAGCAGGCUUUUCAUGUUUCUCUCUUCCUGCCAUUAAUUAGCUUUUACUAUUAAAUUCUGUGAAAUAUACCACUAUCACCCGCCUGCAUAAUUACCAACUCCCAAACCACAGAAACAUUCCAGAAACAGGAGCAGGGAGAAAGAGUCUGGGGAAAGAAAUGGCAAGGUCCCAUAAUGAUGAACACCUAUGGAGGCCACUACAUGGCUACAAGCUUUACCUGGUGUUCUGGGCUGAAUCGUGUCCCUCCAAAAUUUGUAUGUUGACACCCUAACCCCCAGUACCUCUGAAUGUGACUGUGUUUGGAGGUAGGGUCUUUAAAGAUGUGAUUAGGUUAAAAUGAGGCCAGGCCUUUGGGGUGGGCCCUAAUCCAAUGUGACCAGUGUAUUUAUAAGAAGAGGAAGUUUGAACACAGAGACACACCAGGGGUGCUCAAGCACAGAGGAAAGACCACGUGAGGCCAAAGAGAGAAGGCAGCCAUCAGUAUGCCAAGGAGAGAUCUGAAGAAAGCAACCCUACCAACACCUUGAUCUCAGAUUUCCAGCCUCCAGAACUGUGAGGAAAUAAAUGUCUGGUGUUUAAG
rnacentral:lncRNA from 1 species